UGGUGAAAAUUUUCACUAUAU
rnacentral:piRNA from 1 species